UUGAAGCAACGAGUGACGUGUUUAAAUGGUAGCGCCCAUGCUAACAGCGUUCCCUAUCUGGUCGUUCUAUACAGCACCGGUUCCGUUCCAAAAUGUACUAACGCAGCACAGGUGUCAUGUAAAAUCUUUCCCAAUCGUCCUGGUUGUGACGUCAUGUUGUGAAAUUCCUCACAGCGUGAAGAUUUUCCCAGUUCAAUAAUUGCACGCGCGUCUCUUUAAUGGCUAAGCUCGUGCAGAUGUUUCCCUCACCCUUAAAAACAGUUCUGUGGGCGCGUGCAUUUGCUACAUCUGCCAAUACGGACACGCGCAUCAGUGGGUUGAUGUAAGAUGUUUUGCGAUUGCAAAGACUUGGCUCUAUUUUUUCGAUUGACAGCAGUCUUGAACAAAUAUGCAUCUCAAACAGAACAUGGGAACAUCCGCUGAAGGAAACUAUCUACUAGGUUAGAUCAACAACAGGAUCUGGGAGUAACCAUGGAGGAACAUCCCCCAUCACCACAGAAGGGCCAUCCUCCUACUCCCUCAAACCACUCAUCAAUCAGCAAGCUUUCCAACUAGCCAACCAAAGCCACUCCCUUGCCUACUAGUAUAUAUUUGUUUUAUUUCACCUUUAUUUAGACCAGACCUGCUGUUUUCAACUCUCUAGAGACAGCAGGAGUGGUAGAGAUACUUUUAAUGAUCGGCUAUGAAAAGCCAACAGACAUUUACCCCCGAGGUGCUGACUUGCUGCACCCUUGACAACAACUGUGAUUAUUAUUUGACCAUGCUGGUCAUUUAUGAACAUUUGAACAUCUUGGCCACGUUCUAUUAUAAUCUCCAACCGGCACAGCCAGAAGAGGACUGGCCACCCAUCAUAGCCUGGUUCCUCUCUAGGUUUCUUCCUAGGGAGUUUUUCCUAGCCAUCGUGCUUCUACACCUGCAUUGCUUGCUGUUUGGGGUUUUAGGCUGGGUUUCUGUACAGCACUUUGAGAUAUCAGCUGAUGUACGACGGGCUAUAUAAAUACAUUUGAUUUAAAUAGGCCGUAGUGGCGAAGUAAUUAUAAUUUAGCAAUUAAAACACUGGAGUGAUAGAUGUGCAGAAGAUUAAUGUGCAAGUAUAUACUGGGGUGCAAAGGAGCAAAAAAAUAAACAACAAUUAUGGGGAUGAGGUAGUUGGACGGGCUAUUUACAUAUGGGCUAUGUACAGGUGCAAUGAUCUGUGAGCUGCUCUGACAGCAGAUGCUUAAAGUUAGUGAGGGAGACAUGAGUCUCCAGCUUCAAUGAUUUUUGCAAUUUGUUCCAGUCAUUGGCAGCAGAAAACUGGAAAGAGUGGCAGCCAAAGGAGGAAUUGGCUUUGGGGUGCCCAGGGAAAUAUACCUGCUGGAGCCUGUGAUACGGGUGGGUGCUGCUAUGGUGACCAGUGAGCUGAGAUAUGGCGGGGCUUUACCUAGCAAAGACGUAUAGAUGACCUGGAGCCAGUGGGUUUGGCGACGAAUAUGAAGCGAGGGCCAGCCAACGAGAGCGUACAGGUCGCAGUGGUGGGUUGUAUAUGGAGCUUUGGUGACAAAAACGAAUGGCACUGUGAUAGACUGCAUCCAAUUUGCUGAGUAGAGUGUUGGAGGCUAUUUUGUAAAUGACAUCGCCCAAGUCAAGGAUAGUCAGUUUUACAAGGGUAUGUUUGGCAGCAUGAGUGACUGAUGCUUUGUUGCGAAAUAGGAAGCCGAUUCUAGAUUUAAUUCUGGAUUGGAGAUGUUUAAUGUGAGUCUGGAAGGAGAGUUUACAAUCUAACCCAGACACCUGGGUAUUUGUAGUGGUCCACAUAUUCUAAGUCAGAACCGUUCAGAGUAGUGAUGCGAUCGGUUGAAGAGCAUGCAUUUAGUUUUACUUGCAUUUAAGAGCAGUUGGCCACGGAAGGAGAGUUGUAUGGCAUUGAAGCUCGUCUGGAGGUUAGUUAACAGUGUCCAAAGGAGGGCCAGAAGUAUACAGAAUGGUGUUGUCUGCGUAGAGGUGGAUCAGAGAAUCACCAGCAGCAAGAGCGACAUCAUUGAUGUAUACAGAAUUGAACCCUGUGGCACCCCCAUAGAGACUGCCAGAGGUCCAGACAACAGGCCCUCCGAUUUGACACACUGAACUCUGUCUCAGAAGUAGUUGGUGAACCAGGCGAGGCAGUCAUCUGAGAAACCAAGGCUGUCGAGUCUGCCGAUAAGAAUGUGGUGAUUGACAGAGUAGAAAGCCUUGGCCAGGUUGAUGAAUACGGCUGCAAAGUAUUGUCUUUUAUCGAUGGCGGAUAUGAUAUCGUUUAGGACCUUGAGCGUGACUGAGGUGCACCCAUGACCAGCUUGGAAACCAGAUUGCAUAGCAGAGAAGGUACAGAGAAGGCAAAGCUCCACAGUGGAGAUGGGAGUAUCUGUCCAUAGGACCACGUUAAGCCAUACACUUCACAGAGUUGGGCUUUACGGAAGAGUGUUAAGAAGAAAAAAAAACAAUCCUUAAAGAAAAAAUCUGCAAACAUUUGGUGUUCGCCAAAAGGCAUGUGGGAGACUCCCCAAACAUAUGUAAGAAGGUACUCUGGUCAGAUAAGACUAAAAUUGAGCUUUUUGGCCAUCAAGGAAAAUGCCAUGUCUGGCAUAAACCCAACACCUUUCAUCACCCUGAGAACACCACCACCAUGCUGUGGGGAUGUUUUUCCAUAGGCAGGGACUGGGAAACUGGUCAGAAUUUAAGGAUGGCGCUAAAUACAGGGAAAUUAUUGAGAGAAACCUGUGUCAGUCUUCCAGAGAUUUGAGACUGGGACAGAGAUUCACCUUCCAUCAACAAAGCGGUAGGCAUAAUGUGUAAAUCAAAUGAUACAAGCCCCCCCAAAAAAUCUAUUUUAAUUCCUGGUUGUAAGGCAACUAAAUAGGAAGAAUGCCAUGGGGUGUGAAUUAUUUUGCAAGCCACUGUAUAGGGAAGCCCCAAAAGCCAAAAUACAACUAAUAGCACUGCCUUGAGGAAUACCAUUGUCAACUCCAUAGGCAUCACAUAAAAUAAAUCCUAUUUUAACUUGAAGAGCAUUUUAAAUGAGGCCAAAACCCAGUUAUCUCCCACCAAUACAACAUUGCACCAACACAUGGCAACAGCCCAAAACCCAGUACAAACAUUACUGUGGAGACAACAGCACAAAGGGCAAGAAGGUAGAGACAAACAAAUCAGCCACAACUGUCAGGAAGUGUCCAUGAUUGAGUCUUUGAAUGAAGGGAUUGAGAUAAAACUGUCCAGUUUGAGUGUUUGUUGCAGCUCGUUCCAGUCGCUACCUGAAGUGAACUGAAAAGACGAGCGACCCGGGGAUCUUUGUGCUUUCGGGACAUUUAACAGAAUGUGACUGGCAGAACAGGUGUUGUAUGUGGAGGACGAGGGCUGCAGUAGAUAUCCCAGGGGGUAGUGAGGCCUAAAGAGGGUUUUUAUAAAUAAGCAUCAAGCAGUGGGUCUUGCGACAGGUCUACAGAGAUUACCAGUUUACAUAGUAUAGAGUGCAGUUGGCCUGACAAUGGUAUUCCUCAAGGAGCAUUGGUGGCAAAUUUAAUGGCCGAAUGGAAAAGAACAUCUAGCUGCUCGAGAGCACCCUUACCUGCCGACCUAUAAAUUACGUUGUCAUAAUCUAGCAUGGGUAUGCUGGUCAUCUGAAUCAGGGUUAGUUUGGCAGCUUGGGUGAAAGAAGAGUGAUGAUAGAGGAAACCAAGUCUAGAUUUAACCUUAGCCUGCAGCUUUGAUAUGUGCUGAAAGAAUGACAGUGUACCGUCUAGCCAUACCCCCAAGUAAUUGUAUGAGGUGACUACCUCAAGCUCUAAACCUUCAGAGGUAGUAAUCACAACUGUGGGGAGAGCGGCAUUCUUCUUACCAAACCACAUGACCUGUGGGACAGUUGGAGAUUGAAUUUGAAUAUUUAAACAAUGUUGCAGAUAUCAGAGAGACAGUUGUUGAAAACGCUGUUUAAAUCUAAAUGUUAGUCUUCAAGAAAUGUGAGAAUGUCUAGAUGCUUUUUAUAGUGGAGAUCAAGUUAACUUUCCUGCCUGGGUUGACAGUGGAUUGCGCAAUCGGAUAGAACAGAGUAAAUAGGCAUUUUACCGUCAGAUUUAGCAGGUGGUAAUUUGUGGAAUAGACACUGGCUGGAAUGCGUUUAACCAAUUAGCAUUAAGGAUUAGACCCACCCGUUGUAUAAACAAAGUUCACAUACUGCACAUUUUAUACAGUUAUGUAGUGAGCAUAGAGCUAUAUUAGACUGAGCAGUGGCUAUACAGUUGAUAUAGCCUACAGUGGAUGUAGAAAUGUACAGUAUCCGAAUAAAUAGAUCUAAAUGCAGAAAGAUGAACAGAGUGCAAGUGCAGUUAUUUUGUGUACAGUUCAGAGAUGGCUUGAUGUGCAAAAGAAUGCAUAGUCCUAUAGUCUGUGCCACAUGUUUGAGGGCCACAGCACGGAGACUGUUCAGGUGGUUGGUUUUGGUCAUGACUGACCUGAACCGCCUGCCAGAGGUUCAGCAAAAAUCUUUCCUGCAUGCUUCCAUGUCCUGGAGUCGUGCAGUACUGCGAUUGAGGCAGCCGAUGCACUCUGGCCACCAAUGCAUGCCCACACACACAACAAUUUUCACCAUAGUUUUUGCUAUAUGAUAAUCAACUGUACAAUCGAACAUUUAAAACGAACAGGGUCGCAUCCAUAGAUACAGAACAAAGACUGAACGACUCUGGCCACCGAACCAAUAAAAAUGAGCGACCAGCUGCGUUGGGUAGCAAUCCUAGAUUUGUUUCGGGACAAUCUUGCGGAAGGAUUAAAUUCAUCAAAGCGGUAAUGAAAAUAUCAAUCAUUAUUUAAAUAUGUUGCUAACCCGUUGUAGAAAAGUGAUAAUGCCUUCAAAACUGGUGUUUGUGCCAAUAUCCUCCAAACACCGGCUUCUCGGGGAUUAUCACUUAAGUUAAUGCAGUCUGCAUGGUCUCUAAAAUCACUAGCAGCACCGUAUUACCUAAUAAUUCUGAGUGUGUGUGUGUAAAUGUACUUUGUGAAUAAAGGUGAUUCUGAUGAGUGAGCAUUGCCUGGCUAUACAUCUCAUGGCUGUAUCAUGGGGUGAAAACAUUUACCGAGCAACAGCACCUUCAGUUACAUAUUGGUCAGGCAAUUACGGCAUGUCAGAAAUGUCUCCUCCGACACAUUGGUGCGGCUGGCUUCCGGGUUAAGAUGUGUCAAGACGCAGUGUGGCUGGGCUGGGUUUCGGAGGACGCAGGGCUCUCGACCUUCGCAUCUCCCGAGUCCUUAUGGGAGUUGAAGCGAUGGGAGAAGACUAACUACCAAUUGGAUACCACAAAAUUGGGGAGAAAGGGGGGUGGGGGAAAAAGUCAGUAGUGACAGGACAUGCAUACAAGCCUGAACCUCAGAAUUACGUAGAAUGACAUCCAUAAAUAAACAACAUUGACAAAUAACAUGUGAAAGUAUUUUCAGAUAAAGUCUAAACAUUGAGCAGGUAUUGUCCAUAAAGUUCUUGACUCUUACUUUCCUGAUUCCAUUUGACAAGUGUAGACCCUCCCAUGUGAAAAGGUACAUGAAAGGGGACACAGUGUGCUUAAGUAAAAUAAUCAGUCAACGUUUUUAGUUUAAAUUUAAUGUAUAUAUAGGUAAUGCCAGCGCGGUAACAAGCUGAAAAUGUGGGUAUUCAUCUGUACAACCAGAAUGUUUAUAGGGAUAUCUGGGUUAAGGGUUGUGUGGUUGACUGUGGUCUAUCUCCACAGUCUCCACAGAGGAAAAGGGAGCAGCCUCAGUCCAUUAUUCUUCUACCUCCCUCCAUGGUUUGGGUUGGACCUUGCCGACUGGAGACAGAUUCCAUGUGAUGCCGGUUUGUGUCAGUAC